GGGGGUUGGCUGCACUCACCUUAACAUGCAUAAAUGGGGGUGCUGCUGGGGGCCAAAUAAUACAAUACACAAGAUCCAGCGCACUCACCUAUCCACUAAACAGCAGCUUCAAUGUUGAAAGAUUUUAUUUGUUUUUUUAAAAACACCUAAUCUAGGCAAAAAUAAUGGGGGUUUAGUUACAUUAUAUGAUCAUACAUUGCAUAAGCCUGCCACAGCGUCAAUGUACCCCAUCUUUGGCAGGUCCUACACUA